CAGAGGAGGAUGCUAAUCAGUUUAAGCUGCUUUGGUGCUAAUGAAAUUAACAACAAGUGCACCAGAGGGCUAAAAGUGAGACAACCUCCGAGUCGGGAAUGAUUUUACAGACGGAGGCCACUGACAUUGUCCCUCCGUGUGUUUUCACUCUGAGUUUCAGGUGUCUGUAGGUGGCCGAGGCACAAGGUAAAAGCGGAACCGGAGGCACCAACACCCAGAACUCGACUACAGCCGCACCGUCGAGCGCCAGCGGGAGUCCCGCCGCCUUCACGCUGCUCGUCGCUCCGCUGCUUCUGUCCACGGUUCUCCUGCACGGCUGGUCCGGAUGAUCUGAUCCGCGCUGGACAUUCGGAAGCCGGCAGGGGACACAACGUUAGUGUUUAAUAAAAGGCAGAAAAAGGAAAUCACAUAAAGUAGGGAGCUUAACUAUUUACUGUUGAGCGGGCGAAACGAGCGCGACGCGCCCCGGGCCCCGUCGCGCCCCGGGCCGCGCCCUGCUCCUUUCCGCAUCCUGCUCUUCAUCAACUCUGAAACGCAACCAAUCCUCCCGCCAGUAACGGAACAUGCUCGAUGAUAAUUCAGAAAUAUUGAACCCUGUGGAAAACAUGUGUAUUCAUGUGUCUGACAACGACUGUAUGUAAAUGAGUUCUGUACUUUCAGAAUGAUGCAAAUCUGAUGUUUGACAUGUGAAUGCUGUGAAAUUAAACUUUAAAUUGUAAAAAA
ensembl:lncRNA